GCCAUAUCACAUUGAAACAUCGGUUCCCUUACGAUGACCGAGGUUAAGCAUUAUCGUACUUGGCCAGUACCCAGAUGGGUGAUCGCUUGGGAAUACCAGGUGCUGUAAG